AUUGAACGCUGGCGGCAUGCCUUACACAUGCAAGUCGAACGGCAGCACGGGGCAACCUGGUGGCGAGUGGCGAACGGGUGAGUAAUGCAUCGGAACGUACCUUUCAGUGGGGGAUAACGUAGCGAAAGUUACACUAAUACCGCAUAUUCUGUGAGCAGGAAAGCAGGGGAUCGCAAGACCUUGCGCUGAUUGAGCGGCCGAUGUCAGAUUAGCUAGUUGGUGAGGUAAAGGCUCACCAAGGCGACGAUCUGUAGCGGGUCUGAGAGGAUGAUCCGCCACACUGGAACUGAGACACGGUCCAGACUCCUACGGGAGGCAGCAGUGGGGAAUUUUGGACAAUGGGGGCAACCCUGAUUCAGCCAUGCCGCGUGAGUGAAGAAGGCCUUCGGGUUGUAAAGCUCUUUCGGCCGGGAAGAAAUCGCACGGGCUAAUACCCUGUGUGGAUGACGGUACCGGAAUAAGAAGCACCGGCUAACUACGUGCCAGCAGCCGCGGUAAGAC
rnacentral:rRNA from 1 species